GGCGUGAUCGUAUAGUGGUUAGUAGAUUGCGUUGUGGCCGCAGUAACCCAGGUUCCAAUCCUGGUCACUGCA
rnacentral:tRNA from 1 species